UGAAAUUUCACACAGUUUAUCACACAGUCUGGACACUGGUGAAAUGAUUAGAACCUGAGACCACCCCAGUCACAGCAGGACCCUUGGUUACCAUCGUAGCCAUGCUGUGUUGGCAGGCCCCAAACUCCCUGUGGUAGAUGGCCUUCCUGGUUAGAGGAGGCUUUCUGUUUACAGCAUGUGCAUCCCAGCUAGCAACUCACAUGGGUGGCCUUCCUGGGAGAGAAAGGAGGAAGCGUGCAGAGCAAAGGAAAUAUUCGACUAAGCUGAAUGCUCCGGGAAGUGCAGCUGGUAACAUCCAGAGAAAAACCGAGUACCUGCAGCUUCUCCACAGGGUAAGGGAAUAUUUGGGUGAUAAUUUGUUGCAGGCCCAGAAAAUAACCAGUCCUGUGAGGUGGCACUGAGAGAGAAUCCUCGGGGGGUAGAUCUGAGCUGUGCUGGGCUGUAGCUCAUAGCAGAACACUGGCCCAGCAUGUGCAAGGGCCUAGCUGUAUUCUUGAGCACUGCAGAAAAAGAGAAGACAAAAUUGA
rnacentral:lncRNA from 1 species